AGUGAAGCGGGAUGAGCUCAAAUUUAAAAUCUGGCUGGUUUACUAGUCCGAAUUGUAGUUUAUAGAAGCGUUUUCGGUGGCAGCCUGGGUAUAAAUCCUUUGGAAUAGGGUAUCAUAGAGGGUGAGAAUCCCGUCUUUGACUCAGUGCAUGCUACUAUGUGAUACGUUUUCAAAGAGUCGAGUUGUUUGGGAAUGCAGCUCAAAAUGGGUGGUAAAUUUCAUCUAAAGCUAAAUAUUGGCGAGAGACCGAUAGCGAACAAGUACCGUGAGGGAAAGAUGAAAAGAACUUUGAAAAGAGAGUUAAACAGUGCGUGAAAUUGUUGAAAGGGAAACGUUUGACACCAGUUAUGCGGGUGGAAAAUCAGUCUUUUGCAAUGGGGAGUUGUGGGCGUUCAGACCGCAAGGCUGGCGUUUGCUUCAUCUUUGUUGUAAGUGAUGCACUUUUUCAUUUGCAGGUCAACAUCAGUUUGCUUUGCUGGACAAAACCCCAAGGGAAGGUGGCAGCUUAGGCUGUGUUAUAGCCCUGGGGCGAUACAGUGGAGUGGACUGAGGUUUCGCAGUGUGUGCUCUCGGGCAAGGCUGACUGGGUGCUAUGGGAUCGUUCGGCGUACAAUGCAUGCAUUUUGCGUCGUGUCUUUUUCAUACUCGCUCAACUCGGCUCUUCCACACUUAGGAUGUUGACUUAAUGGUUUUAAACGACCCGUCUUG
rnacentral:rRNA from 1 species